rnacentral:lncRNA from 1 species
GAGAAAAAUAACUUACUCUACAUUCUCCCCGAUGGAUUCCGAAACCCAGAAGAUCCCUAGGACAUGGACUCACCAUUGAACCCAUUGUUAAGCUUAUGGUUUAACCCAUCUCCCUGCCUACUUGUCAGAUAAACUCACGCUUGAGGAAUUCAACCUAUGCAGUGAUUCCAGCCAGAGGUAUUGGUCCAAAUGAAGCAUGGGAGACAGUUUUCUGGAAGCUUCUGGGGAAGAAGGUGAUCUAUCCUUCUGAGAGAGCCAGGAUUUUCUCUUCAAUCAGAUAUGAUACAUAAACUCCUAAUACUGCCAAUGCAUCCUGCGACCAUAUGAGAAAUAAGCCUUAAGAAGAAGCUAACAAUAUAGAAAGAUGGAAAAGAAAGAAAGACCUUUAUGACAUGAAUGAAGUCAAAUCAAACUAACCCUGAAACUGACUGACACACUCUUAGACUUUCCAAUCACAGAAGCCGUCAUUGAAACUAGUUUACAUUUUCUGUUUCUUGGGGUCAGACAUUUGGGUAUAUAACAUCUAUAUGACUAUAUAGUGAGAGGCCCCCCUUCAUUAGUACCUCCCGUUUGUAAGUCAAUGCUCUAUUAGGAGUAAAUUCCCAGUGGAAUUUUUUCUGCAAUAUUGUCUUUUGACAAAAUAAAUAGGGAUUGGAUGAGAUAAUCUCUAUAACAACCUCCCAGAUCUAAAAACUUAUGCUUCUUUGAAAAUUCAAACUAUAAUUACAGGAGAUUUUUGAAUUUUAGAUACUUCAAACUUAAGCUUCAGGUGUUUUGUGAAGCUAUUUGCUGUAUGACAAACUCCCCCUAUUUGAGAAAAUUCUGCCAGUUGUGAUUUUAUGCAUAUUUGUAGCCUUCAAAAGUGGAAAAAAUAAACUGUAAUUCUAGCAAGAGGGCUGGAAAAUGUAAACAAAGCUCAUUAGCCUUGUCAGACAUUUGAUAAAUAAUUAUAAACUGCAACUGCGGUAAGAUGUGUGCAUAAAGCCCAACUUUGAUCUCUUUGGAAAACAAAUGUUCCUGUAACAAUUUAAAACUUUAAUCACACUUAACAUAUCUUCAAGUAUAGAACACAUAAAUAUUCUUUCGAUUCUGCCUGAGCCUGGAUUAUUUUCCACGUUUGUUAGUUAAGAAGAAGACUUACCAUAGACUGCAUUUAAAUAGUAAGCUAAGUAGUUGGGGACUAAUAAACAAAAUGUUUGUCAUACACUAAAUGUAAUCUUUUCCACAUUAACACUGUUGUUAUACUGCAGAAAGAUUAAGGAAACCAAAGAAAUACACUUAUUAGCUUUUAAUGAUUGUAACAGACCGAUACCGGAGCUUUAAAUUGCUUUUCAAAGUCUAGAUUCUAUUUUUAUAAUCAAUGUUCUAACUAAGCAUUCAUCAUUAUGAAGACAAAUCCUGUAAGUCAUACACAUAUCUCUGUCUCCCUCUGACAGACAUUGAUUUAGAAAGGAAAGACUAGAUUCAACCCCCAGGAAACAGCUGUUCUCCUUAGAUAAGGAAAUCAUUGAACUGGCUUUUAAUGUUGUAAGAGAAAGGGAGAGAAAAAGGAAAAGAGAGAGAUUUACUACAGGAGCAAACAACAAAAAUCCGAACUACCUAGAUGACACGACACAAUUUAUAAUUCACAGAACAUAACUUAAUUAUCACAUUUCUUGAUAGCUGACUUUAAACCACAGGUUAUGCUUUCUCCCAAAGCAAAAUGGCCAGCCUUGCCAUUGAUAGCAAAACAAAACAUUCUGAGAAAACUCGGGUGGCAUGAAAAGGUUAAAAGAGAACAGCUGAAAUCUUGAGACCUAAUGAAGCUGCAACACCUGACAGGCCACUCCUGAGAGCACAGGUAGCUUGAAGAACGCUAAAUACCAAGGAAAAUGUUUCAUUUACCUGUUAAACUAGCAAGUUCACAUUGAAGAAUGAUUUAAUACAUACACAUGCACAAGACUACCGGAAUUCAUGCAAAUUUCCCAAGGUAUUCAGUGCUGGAGUACUAUAUGCCCAAACUUCAGAAAUUUUAGAAAUGAAGAUAGACUUUAAUUUGGUUGCCAGGAAUGUUCCCCCUUUAAGAAAUUUAAAUUAGAUUCUCCUUUUCUCUGUUGCUUCAGUCAAAGUCUCUACUGGAACCUUCAUAAUGUCAACAUUAAAAGAAAAAUCAUAUCUCAGAUCCUUGUUCUGAUACUGAAAAAAAAAAAAAGAAAAAGCAUAUCUUUUUUUUGUAUUUGGAACUAAAUACUGCCUUAAAAAUGAAAAUAUGCAUUAAGGAAAGACUAUGUCAAGACUCUCAGCUGUGUUUUAGCAAUAUAUUUCCUUGGUCAACAAUAUUUUUUUAAGAACUGGAGGACAUAGAAGUGACUUCUCUUUCUCAAACUACAAAAAUACUUUGAGGCUCUGUGAAGAGAGGUGUCCAUGGAGUAAAUGAAAGAAGAUGCUUAGAAAUUUUUAAUUAGCUUGUCAAUGGUUCCUCAUGCUGCAUGAACUACCAGAGCAGGUAGUUAUAUUGUAUGUCACGCUAUUCAAUCUCAGUAUAUGUUUUUUUUUCUUAUAACCAAAAGUGGUUUUAGGUAAUGUAUUCAUAGGAUUAAAUAAAUCAACUGCUAAUUUUCAAUAAAACAAGUCCCUCGUUGAGGCAUUCACCAGCAUGGAGAACACAAACAUGAAGACAAUCCCCAAAUCCUUGUUUAGGGGGAUUAAAAUGCUUUAUAUGAUUUAAAAGAAUAGAUUUAACUUUCUAAUUGUAUUUACUCUGCCCUAAUACUAAAAUGAGUUUGCUUUUCCAGGCCACACAUCAAUGGUAACCUGGUAUUUAAAAAAUAAUAAUAAAUGUUAUAAAUAGAUACAAACUGGCUAAUACUGAUUUUUAGAGAGAAUUAUAAAUGUGCAACCUACCAUUACAUUUUAUUGAAAACACAUAUAACAUUAAAAUGCAUGAUUAGUGAUAGAGUAGUAAUGAAAUCAUCCAUAAUCCGGCCAUGCAAAUAUAAUUACUAUAUUUGCAUUCAAAAUUACAGAUCAGGCUGGGUACAGUAGCUCAUGCCUGUAAUCCCAGCACUUUGGGAGGCCAAGGAAGGAGGAUUACUUGAGGACAGGAGUUUAAUACCAGCCUGGGAAGUAUAACGAGAUCCCUGUCUCUACAAAAAUAAAAAUAAAAAUAAAAACAUUAGCUGGGAGUGAUGGCACGUGCCUGUAGUCCUAGCUCUUUGAGAGGCUGAGUCAGAAUUGCUAGAGCCCAGGAGUUUGAGGCUGCAGGGAGCUAGGAUCACGCUACUGCACUCCAGCCUGGGCACAAAGUGAG